GACGGAGAGUGUGGGUCUUGUUAUGUCUGGCUACAUUUUUGAGGCAUGAGUGUAGUCGAUGCAUCACACUGAGGUCAGGACAAUGCUGGGAAGAAUCCGAGGGACGGGGAUCAAAAGCCACAGGCAAAUGAGAGCUGCAUCCAGGGGUCCACUCGCUGAGAGAGGGAGGACUGACGGGCCCCUGCUGCAACAUGUUUGGGAUGAUCACAUGGGUCGGCCGGCCCUCCCCCGCGCAGCUAUGUGACUGACACAGCGGCAUGCGGAUUGGAGGAGUCGGGGAUCAAACCAUCGACCUUCUGGAUAAUACAAAAUCCUCUCUAACUCCUGAGGCACAGCCGCCCAUUGUCUUCCUACAACUGUUACACACUGAACAGCCAUUUUAUUGAGUUUAGUCCCACAACCAACAACAGUAAUAGCUUCUCAAGAAGUUUGUAAUGGGAAUGCAGCUCCCUAGAAGAAAGGGCAAGAAGGAAAAAACACCAGGGUCCUUUCUAUUUUUU